GACUAGAGUGGGGUCUAGCCAAUAGGUUAGGGAGCCCAGAACCUUCCUGGGGAUAGUGAGCACCGACUCCAGGCUGUCUCUGCGUGGUUGGUACAUUGAAGCAAGCCAGGCUUGGAAGGGACGGAGAGCCUAUUUUUGGC